GCGCCAGUGGGUGCCCAGAGUCACUCCAACCCAUGUGAACUUACCUUUUGUUGCCUCGGCAGAAGUUAUAGGUCUUCUUAUAGCUGCUGCCGGUGGACCAUUAAACUCUUGUUAUUUUAUGUAAUCUGAGCGUCUUAUUUUAAUAAGUCAAAACUUUCAACAACGGAUCUCUUGGUUCUGGCAUCGAUGAAGAACGCAGCGAAAUGCGAUAAGUAAUGUGAAUUGCAGAAUUCAGUGAAUCAUCGAAUCUUUGAACGCACAUUGCGCCCAUUAGUAUUCUAGUGGGCAUGCCUGUUCGAGCGUCAUUUCAACCCUUAAGCCUAGCUUAGUGUUGGGAAUCUACUUCUCUUAGGAGUUGUAGUUCCUGAAAUACAACGGCGGAUUUGUAGUAUCCUCUGAGCGUAGUAAUUUUUUUCUCGCUUUUGUUAGGUGCUAUAACUCCCAGCCGCUAAACCCCCAAUUUUUUGUGGUUGACCUCGGAUCAGGUAGGAAUACCCGCUGAACUUAAGCAUAUCAAUAAGCGGAGGAA
rnacentral:rRNA from 1 species